rnacentral:rRNA from 1 species
AUCUUGGGCCGUAGAGAAAGAAGGCUAUCACAGGUGUAACGCUCGGGCAAAUUGUGUCCACGUCGUUUUCGAUUAAAUCCUAUCUGUGAAUCUUCCACUGUUGCUUCCAUGCGUCGACUCUUGAGCCYGACGCGUGGGACUACAACAUAACAUCAUGUUCUGUUUUGCUAGUCUGAGUGGUCAGCCACAUUUUAWCAAGUUAAAACUUUCAACAACGGAUCUCUUGGUUCUCGCAUCGAUGAAGAACGCAGYGAAAUGCGAUAAGUAGUGUGAAUUGCAGAAUUCAGUGAAUCAUCGAAUCUUUGAACGCACAUUGCGCCUUCUGGUAUUCCGGGAGGCAUGCCUGUUCGAGCGUCAUGAAAAGCAUCCUCAAGCGACAUGCUUGGUUGUGGAAGAAGAUGGUAUCUCAUCUCUUCUGGAAGCUCUCAGCAGUAGGCCUUGCAACCUCAGGUGUGAUAACUCAUAUUCACUUGAAGGUCAUGAGGUGUUCUGGCUGUAUUGAAAGCCCCCCCAGCAUUUUUCAGUGUUGACCUCG